rnacentral:rRNA from 1 species
GACGAACGCUGGCGGCGUGCUUAACACAUGCAAGUCGAACGGAAAGGCCCUGCUUUUGUGUGGUGCUCGAGUGGCGAACGGGUGAGUAACACGUGAGUAACCUGCCCUUGACUUUGGGAUAACUUCAGGAAACUGGGGCUAAUACCGGAUAGGAGCUCCUGCUGCAUGGUGGGGGUUGGAAAGUUUCGGCGGUUGGGGAUGGACUCGCGGCUUAUCAGCUUGUUGGUGGGGUAGUGGCUUACCAAGGCUUUGACGGGUAGCCGGCCUGAGAGGGUGACCGGCCACAUUGGGACUGAGAUACGGCCCAGACUCCUACGGGAGGCAGCAGUGGGGAAUAUUGCACAAUGGGCGGAAGCCUGAUGCAGAAACGCCGCGUGCGGGAUGACGGCCUUCGGGUUGUAAACCGCUUUCGCCUGUGACGAAGCGUGAGUGACGGUAAUGGGUAAAGAAGCACCGGCUAACUACGUG